UGACGCAGCGACGCCGCGUGCGGGAUGAAGGCCUUCGGGUUGUAAACCGCUAAAAGGUCGAAUUUCGACCUGAUAAGUGCCUGCUAACUACGUGCCAGCAGCCGCGGUAAGACGUAGGGCACAAGCGUUAUCCGGAUUCACUGGGCGUAAAGGGUCCGUCGGUGGUCUUCUAAGUUUUGUUUCAAAGCCCUCCGCCCAACGGAGGAAAGGGACAAAAUACUGGGAGACUAGAACCAGAUCGGGGCCACUGGAACUUGUCGUGUAGGGGUGAAAUCCGUGGAUACGACAAGGAACACCAAGAGCGAAGGCAGGUGGCUAGGUCUUGGUUGACACUCAAGGACGAAAGCUAGGGGAGCGAACCGGAUUAGAGACCCGGGUAGUCCUAGCCCUAAACGAUGUCCGCUAGAUAGUCUGACGCUUUGUUGGACUGUCGAAGUUAACGCGUUAAGCGGACCGCCUGGGGAGUACGACCGCAAGGUUGAAACUCAAACGAAUUGACGGGGAGGCGCACAACCAGUGGAGCAUGUGGUUCAAUUCGAGACGAAGCGAUGAACCUUACCUGGGCUUGACAUUCCGCCGUAUGUUUCUUCCGAAAGGGAGAGACCUUCAGGCGGAACAGCUGCUGCAUGGUUGUCGUCAGCUCGUGGCGUGAGCCGUUCGCUUAAGUGCGGUAACGAGCGCAACCUCUGCCUGGUGUUACUCGUGUCACCGGGGACAGCCCUCGCCGCUGCGGGGGAGGAAGGAGGGGACGACGUCAAAUCAGCAUGGCGCUUAUGCCCAGGGCUACACACAUCCUACAAUGGCCGGGACAAUGGGUUGCCAAGCCGCGAGGCGGAGCUAAUC
rnacentral:rRNA from 1 species